rnacentral:rRNA from 1 species
GACGAACGCUGGCGGCGUGCUUAACACAUGCAAGUCGAACGGAAAGGCCCUGCUUUUGUGGGGUGCUCGAGUGGCGAACGGGUGAGUAACACGUGAGAACCUGCCCUUGACUUUGGGAUAACUUCAGGAAACUGGGGCUAAUACCGGAUAGGAGCUCCUGCUGCAUGGUGGGGGUUGGAAAGUUUCGGCGGUUGGGGAUGGACUCGCGGCUUAUCAGCUUGUUGGUGGGGUAGUGGCUUACCAAGGCUUUGACGGGUAGCCGGCCUGAGAGGGUGACCGGCCACAUUGGGACUGAGAUACGGCCCAGACUCCUACGGGAGGCAGCAGUGGGGAAUAUUGCACAAUGGGCGGAAGCCUGAUGCAGCAACGCCGCGUGCGGGAUGACGGCCUUCGGGUUGUAAACCGCUUUCGCCUGUGACGAAGCGUGAGUGACGGUAAUGGGUAAAGAAGCACCGGCUAACUACGUG